rnacentral:rRNA from 1 species
GACGAACGCUGGCGGCGUGCUUAACACAUGCAAGUCGAACGGAAAGGCCCUGCUUGCAGGGUACUCGAGUGGCGAACGGGUGAGUAACACGUGGGUGAUCUGCCCUGCACUUCGGGAUAAGCCUGGGAAACUGGGUCUAAUACCGGAUAGGAGCCAUUUUUAGUGUGAUGGUUGGAAAGUUUUUUCGGUGUAGGAUGAGCUCGCGGCCUAUCAGCUUGUUGGUGGGGUAAUGGCCUACCAAGGCGGCGACGGGUAGCCGGCCUGAGAGGGUGGACGGCCACAUUGGGACUGAGAUACGGCCCAGACUCCUACGGGAGGGAGCAGUGGGGAAGAUUGCACAAUGGGCGCAAGCCUGAUGCAGCGACGCCGCGUGGGGGAUGACGGCCUUCGGGUUGUAAACUCCUUUCGCUAGGGACGAAGCUUUUUGUGACGGUACCUAGAUAAGAAGCACCGGCUAACUACGUG